rnacentral:tRNA from 1 species
GGUUCAAUGGUGUAAUGGUUAGCACUCUGGACUUCAGCGAUCCGAGUUCAAAUCUCGGUGGAACCU